GUUCUACCUCUUGACAUGUAGUACGAACAUAAAGCACAGUUGAUUCCUGAGCUGUGAUGACUUUCCACUGACCAUACUACUGCAAUGAUGUUAUUCUGGGCCAAACUUCGGAAUCAAUCCUUCUCUGCUGCCUGAUUCAAUUAUUUAUCAUGCACCCCGUGGAUUUUUACUUGCUAAAGUAGAAAGAAGAUCCCAACAUUUGAUGAGAAAAUAUACAGAAGGGAGGCUGAUCCAGGGUGCACUGUGGCAGGUGGCAGUAUAGAUUUUUGUGAAGCAGCAGUGUGCUGUGAUAUGAGUAGCAGAUGAAGAAGGAAGGAAAUGAAGUCACUCAAUUCUUAUAUGGCAUAAUUACUCUUAUAUUUGGAAUCAACAUGUGGAAUUUCUAGAUUUUCUCUAGUUAAGAAAUUUGAAAAUGGCCUGACUAGAUUAUUUUGGCUUGAGGACUCUCAGGAGAUUCACUUCAGAUUUUGUUCCUUACUGCAACCAUUUGAAGGCUUUAUUGCAGAUAGAGAAUACUCUUCCAAAGUGCCUUAAUUACAUGAUGGACUAAUCGGUGCUGGCAGUUAUCAGAAGUCCUCAGAUACUCUCCACAAGUACGUUUCUUGAGGGUUAAGUAUCCUCAUAACAACGGAUGACUUCUUCCAGAGUGAGAAAUCCAAGAGACAAAGCUGGAUGCGCAAAAUUAUCUACACAGAAUUCUAUUGGUUACCCA